UCUUCCUAUGGGUCCUGUUCCAAACCCCUCCGCAUUUUCGUCGCCCUUCUCUGAACCUUUUCUAAGGCCGGUGUAUCUUUCGGGCGCCUCCGUCCCCCGACUAUUAGCGCACGGUAGGAACGUGUCGUCGCGUGGAUCUUCUCUUUGCACCGGCUUCGCCGGGGCGUUUUACGCCACCAGCUGUGAAACUGGGCAAAUCGCCGGCUGGGUCGCAGGUGUCUGUGGACCCUGGUGGAGCGCGGAGACGCGGUCGCCGGGCGGAACUUGGCUUGUCCAAAGUCUUUCCGCCCACGCUCCGUUGGCGUUCUGUUCUCGCCUGGGAAUCGGUCUCGAAACUCCUGCGAGGGGUUAACGAUUAACGACGGCAGAGGGGCGGAGCAACCUCCGGGUCAACAAAGGAGCCGCGAUGGGCGGGGGAGGGGGUAAAGCGGCGGAUUCACCCCGGCGGGAGGAAAACGAACGCAGUAGAGGACCUAGAAAGCGUGGCCGAGAGAGGAUCGCUCUGUGUGCAGCGGCCGUCAAAACAGCCAACCGAGCGUGAGGAAUCCUUAAAAAAGGGAUCGAGAAUAAGACCGAGACGCGCUUAUCACCCCUGUGUAAAUCCAAGAGACGCCCACAGCUUGAAUUCUGCGCGUAGCUGUGGGCGCCUCCCCUCCGAAAAGAUCUCUUGGCCUUGGAAAAAGUUCAGAGAAGGGCCACACAACUGUGGAGGGGUUUGGAAGGGGGAAGAGAGAUGAAAAAGACGGGGACUUUUCAGCUUAGAAGCCAUAGGAGAGAGAUCCCGCCCCUCACCAUGGAGCAGUACGUGCUGCUGGACCCGCGCCAGAGGGCCCUGUACCGGGAUGUCAUGCAGGAGAGCUACGAGACCCUGAUGGCCCUUGAAUUCCCCAUUUCCAAGCCUGACCUGCUCUCCCAGCUGGACAGCGG